AUUGAACGCUGGCGGCAUGCCUUACACAUGCAAGUCGAACGGCAGCGCGGGGCAACCUGGCGGCGAGUGGCGAACGGGUGAGUAAUAUAUCGGAACAUACCCUAGAGUGGGGGAUAACGUAGCGAAAGUUACGCUAAUACCGCAUACGCACUAAGGUGGAAAGUGGGGGAUCUUCGGACCUCAUGCUCAUGGAGUGGCCGAUAUCUGAUUAGCUAGUUGGUGAGGUAAAGGCUCACCAAGGCGACGAUCAGUAGCUGGUUUGAGAGAACGACCAGCCACACUGGAACUGAGACACGGUCCAGACUCCUACGGGAGGCAGCAGUGGGGAAUUUUGGACAAUGGGGGCAACCCUGAUCCAGCAAUGCCGCGUGAGUGAAGAAGGCCU
rnacentral:rRNA from 1 species